rnacentral:rRNA from 1 species
UACAGAGGGGGCAAGCGUUGUUCGGAAUUACUGGGCGUAAAGGGCGCGUAGGCGGCCUGUUAAGUCGAACGUGAAAUCCCCGGGCUCAACCCGGGAACUGCGUCCGAUACUGGCAGGCUUGAAUUCGGGAGAGGGAUGUGGAAUUCCAGGUGUAGCGGUGAAAUGCGUAGAUAUCUGGAGGAACACCGGUGGCGAAGGCGGCAUCUUGGACCGAUAUUGACGCUGAUGCGCGAAAGCCAGGGGAGCAAACGGG